UACGAAGGGGGCUAGCGUUGUUCGGAAUUACUGGGCGUAAAGCGCGCGCAGGCGGUUCUCCAAGUCAGUGGUGAAAGCCCGGAGCUCAACUCCGGAAUUGCCAUUGAAACUGUUGAACUUGAGGACGAGAGAGGUGAGUGGAAUUCCCAGUGUAGAGGUGAAAUUCGUAGAUAUUCGGAAGAACACCAGUGGCGAAGGCGGCUCACUGGACUGGUAUUGACGCUGAGGUGCGAAAGCGUGGGGAGCAAACAGG
rnacentral:rRNA from 1 species